GUGUCAGCCGCCGCGGUAAAACGUAGGAGCCAAGCGUUAUCCGAAUUCACUGGGCGUAAAGCGCGUGCAGGCGGUUGGGUAAGUUGGAUGUGAAAUCGCCCGGCUCAACUGGGCGAGGUCGUUCAAAACUGCCUGACUCGAGGACGGUAGAGGGAGGUGGAAUUCCCGGUGUAGUGGUGAAAUGCGUAGAGAUCGGGAGGAACACCAGUGGCGAAGGCGGCCUCCUGGACCGGACCUGACGCUCAGACGCGAAAGCUAGGGGAGCGAACGGGAUUAGAUACCCGAGUAGUCC
rnacentral:rRNA from 1 species